GAUGAACGCUAGCGGCAGGCUUAAUACAUGCAAGUCGAGGGGCAGCGCAGUGUAGCAAUACAUGGGCGGCGACCGGCAAACGGGUGCGGAACACGUACACAACCUUCCUACAAGUGGGGGAUAGCCCAGAGAAAUUUGGAUUAAUACCCCGUAACAUAAUGGUGUGGCAUCACAUUAUUAUUAUAGCUACGGCGCUUAUUGAUGGGUGUGCGGCUGAUUAGAUAGUUGGCGGGGUAACGGCGCACCAAGUCUACGAUCAGUAGCUGGUGGGAGAGCAUGAUCAGCCACACGGGCACUGAGACACGGGCCCGACUCCUACGGGAGGCAGCAGUAAGGAAUAUUGGUCAAUGGGCGCAAGUCUGAACCAGCCAUGCCGCGUGAAGGAUUAAGGUCCUCUGGAUUGUAAACUUCUUUUAUCUGGGACGAAAAAAGGCGAUUCUUCGUCACUUGACGGUACCAGAUGAAUAAGCACCGGCUAACUCCGUGCCAGCCGCCGCAGUAAAAC
rnacentral:rRNA from 1 species